GCACGUAGUUAGCCGGUGCUUCUUAUCCAGGUACCGUCAUUUUCACUUCGUCCCUGUCGAAAGAGGUUUACAACCCGAAGGCCGUCAUCCCCCACGCGGCGUCGCUGCAUCAGGCUUCCGCCCAUUGUGCAAUAUUCCCCA
rnacentral:rRNA from 1 species